UCUCUCUAUCUAUAUAUCUUAUGCUCUAAUCAUCAUCAUAAUCAUAAUCUUCUAUCGAGUAAAAAAAGAAAAUCAAAAUCAAAGAAGAGAGAGAGAGAGAGAGAGAGAGAGAGAGAGAGAGAGAAUUCGAUCGAAAGAAGGAAAGCUGACACACUCCCACGCAUCGCUUCAUCUCCACGCUCUUCCUCGGUCAUCUCUCUCCUUGUUUAUGAAGGAUCCUUCAACCGCCUUUGAUCAGAUAUCAGGUCAUCCGCUGGCACCUUCUUUAGAUCUUCGUCAUCAACAGGCAAACCAAUUAGCUGAAUAUCCUCAUCACCUUGUGAGACAAGAUCAUCAACAAUACCAAGAACAGUCUUUUGAAGCCCCUCUGCAUCAUGGAUUGAGGCAGAACCACAGUGUUCCUGACAGUUCACAUGCAAAUUCCAGUUUAUCUGUGGAACCUGAAAAGAUGUCUAGUGGAGAGGGCAGAAGGGUCUCGCGGCAAGAUAUUCAGAUGGUUCAAAAUUUUAUAGAAGGAUGUCUUCAACGAUACAUGAACCAGAAAGAAGUUGUCGAAGCACUUUCGAUUCAUUUAAAAAUAGAGCCUGGUUUUACUGAACUUGUCUGGCAAAAGCUUGAAGAAGAGAACCGAGAGUUUUUCAAGGCAUACCAUGUUCGACUAAUGGUUAAGCGCCAGAUAAUGAUGUUCAAUAAGUUGCUAGAGAAACAGGCUGAGCUCAUGCAUAAGAGAUGCCCAACUGGAGUUGCUUCUUUACCCAUUUCCAAUGGAUCCCAUAGCUUGCCAUUGCACCAAAAUCUGUCAUAUUAUGCUGCGGGUCAUACAACAAUUCCUUCAAGACUAGACCAUAUGAACCAACCAACAGAUCUAUCAAAUGUCCUCAUAAAUGGUGGGCCAUCAAUGCACCUAAACAUGCAUACUGCUGAUUAUGCCUCUACCCAUGCUGGGAGGAUGAACAUCGAACCAAACAUGCUCUUGACUCAGAAUUCACAGAUGGGAAUGCUACAAGGAAUGAAUGGGAUGGAAAUCAAAUCAGAACCCGAUGGCUAUUCAAACACUUCAGCUUUUGCAUUCAGUGUUGAUAACAAUGUCCUGGAUCCACACUCAACAAUCAGAAAAGACACACCCGUUGCGUCUUUUAGCAGUGCAGAGUCUAACGUGCAACCCUUGAACGAACCAUUCUUGGAUUCUGAUAUUGAAGUUUUCAGCCUUUCUGAUUUUUCAAUGGAUUUUAUGCACUCUGAUAUAAUAGGGAGUCCCUUCCUAGCGACACAUACAGAUAAGUUCCAAGAUUCACCUGGAAGAGAAUGCCAAGCAGAAAACAAACGACUUGACACCUUAUCAGAAGGCACGAGCUACGAAGAAUACUGUGGUGAUUGAUCGGAUGUUCUAACUGAUACUGAUACAUGCACAGAGGCCUGAAUCAUAAAUAUGACUCCCCCACUUCCAAAACUAAUGACACUGAAAUAGAUGUGUGACUAGAUACUAGCAGGACAAGCAUUUGUACAUAGCACAUUUAGAAUGGGCAGGACCCGGAGUCCUUGAAAAGAAUCUAUGCUGUCCUUUCUUAGACUUUUGCUAACAUGAGAAACCAUUUGGGCGGCCGUCAUGAUGUACUGACAAAGUUUGCUUGAGAAAAAGCUAAAGUCUAUGCAGCAGCUGUUUCUGUGGCCAAGGGAGUCAUCAAGGGUUCUUAUUUGGGGAAUGUGUGAUAGAAUACAGGUCAAUCUUAAUUCGAAGUUGAUUAUGAAAAUGGACAAUUCACAUCUUGUUGCGGUUUCGUGCAGGGAGUUAGGUUGAUUUGUGUCAAAAAUAUGGAUAUUUUACAUUGAUGUUUCUCCUUUAGGCAGCAAGUGGUAAUUAGCAUUUUUUGCUUUUUAA